CCGGGGACGCAGGUCUUUUGCGAGCAGCUGGCAAGGCCGAAAGGGGAUGCAAAGUAAAUGGAUGUGGGCGAUUGGAAGAAAAGCCUUCCACGGAUGGAAGGGUCCCGGAGAGAACCGAAGGAAAGUGGGCAGCAGCCGCCGCCGCCGCGUCUCGCCGUGCUUUUCUCUGGAAUAAAGGCUUACCACUGGCACCUCCAGGCGACCAAGGGGCACUGGGUCUGCUCCCCACCGCAUCCCCGGGUGUGGAGACAGCAGCUGGGGAGCUGCAUCAGAAUCUCAAAAAAUGGAUGAUGAAUGAAUUUAAUUGGGACAGUGCAUUCUUUUUUGCUGCUUUAAGUGGAGGGGAAGGCGAUGCAAGAUUCAAGGUACAGAAAAGGCACCUCCUCCCCGUGCCGCCCCGCAACACACACGGAAAUUGCUCCCCAAAGCUCUCUUUCUCAGCAGUAUCAGCGAGGAGGCUGGAACUCCUCUGCUUCCAGAAUGACGUCUCCCUGUCCGUCCGCCUGGGCCUGCCACCUCCCGCCCCCACCGCCAGCGCCCGCCCUCCUCCACGUGGUGGAAGCUUGAGCAAACAGUUUAAAGUCCAGAGCUUUUCCCUCCAGGACACCUCCUGGGUCAGUGUCCAACCCUGGCUAGGGGAUGGGGCUGUGUCUUCUUUGUACUCUGUCGUGCAUCACUCACUGUUGGGAAACCCAGCCACCAUAUUGUGAGGACACUCAAGCAGCCCUGUGGAGAGGUCCGUGUGAAGAGGAACUGAGGCCUCCUGCUGACAGCCAGCACCAACGUUCCAGCCAUAAGAGUACACCAGUCCGCAGUCAAGCUGUCCCUUGAUUUACCCCCAGCUGACAUCUUGAUUGCAACUUCAUAAGAGACCCUGAGCCAGAAUUGCCCAGCUAAGCUGCUCCUUGAACUUCUGACUCACAGAAACUGUGAAAGGAAAUAAUUACAGGCCAAAAUGCUUGCGAGGGGAGAGGAGAUGUCACAUACUAAUUCUGCGCAUCGAAUUACACAUGCUAUAUGGAGAGACCCACGGCGGGAGUGAGAGGGGCUUUCGGCUUCCUGGAUCUUACUUGGACAGAAAGUCAACAAUGAAACAACAUGAACAACAGACACAACACUCCACCCAAGCUCUCAGGUGCACAUUCUCCAGGACAGACCACAUGUUAGGCCAUAAAACAAGUCUUAAUGCAUUGAAAAGACUGGUGUCUUCUGCAACCACAAUGGAAUGAAGCUAGGAGUCACAAAUGGAAGGAAAACUGGAAAAUUCACAAAUAAUGUGAAAAUUAAUCAACCACUGGGUCUAAAAAGAAAUCACAAGGGAAAUUAGAAAAUAGUUAGAGGUAUGAACCAAAAGUAGCACCUCUCAGAGGGAAGUUUACAGCUGUAAAUACCUGCACUAAAAGAGCAGCUCUGUCUUAUCACCAGAAAAAAAAAAUUGUAACUAUAAAAAAAAAGAAGAGUUUUGUUUAAUGUUUUAAAUCACUUAUUUAUUUGAAAAAUUGACAUGGAGCAAAGUUCAAGUGGUACAAAAAAGGAGGAUAUAGUGAAAAGUCAGUUUCUAUCCCAUUUUGAUCUAUAAGUUACCUUGUCCUCUCUAGGAAGUGGCCCCUGUUAUCUGGCUUUUAUGUAUCCUGCCAGAGAUAUUAGGAUAAAAUCCCAAAAGUGGUCUCACUGAAACCAGGGAUGAAUUUUAAGGAGUGGGGGUGGGGGGAGGAAGUCAGAAGGAUUAAUUGAUUGAUAUGCAGGUAUCAAAAAGAAUGAGGGUACUAAACAGAAAGUCUGAUUCCAAACUAGGUGGACUUAACCAUAGUGGUAUAUCACUGAAAGCAAGAGGUUAAGAAGGGGGAAAUGUAGAAAAACUGGAAAUUAAAUGUUGAUACUGGGGAAAGGACUAAUAUCUUUGUUAUGGGUUAACCACACUUAUUACUAAAAGUGAAAAAAAUUAUUGUGCAUAUCUGGAAGUACCUGACUUGGCUCAUGGUACUGCCAAAUGUACUUCAUCAUGAGCCAUGUCAUUGUGGUUUUUACUCUGGAGGAGUAAAAAAAUAUGGAGAGGUUCUUCACAACCUCUGGUUCUCUGUCUGUUACAGAAAUCUAACUCUAGAGAUUGACAUCAAA